UCGAGGAUCUUCGGCAAUGGGCGCAAGCCUGACCGAGCGACGCCGCGUGUGCGAUGAAGGCCUUCGGGUUGUAAAGCACUGUCGAGGGGGAUAAAGCCGCAAGGUUGAUAGAUCCCUGGAGGAAGCACGGGCUAAGUUCGUGCCAGCAGCCGCGGUAAGACGAACCGUGCGAACGUUGUUCGGAAUCACUGGGCUUAAAGGGCGCGUAGGCGGCUUGCCAAGUCCGGGGUGAAAUCCCCCAGCUCAACUGGGGAAGUGCCUUGGAUACUGGCGAGCUCGAGGGAGGUAGGGGCAGAGGGAACUUCUGGUGGAGCGGUGAAAUGCGUUGAUAUCAGAAGGAACGCCGGUGGCGAAAGCGCUCUGCUGGAUCUCUACUGACGCUGAGGCGCGAAAGCUAGGGGAGCAAACGGGAUUAGAUACCCCCGUAGUCC
rnacentral:rRNA from 1 species